rnacentral:lncRNA from 1 species
UCCUAAGUAAUAUGUUAUAAUUGAAUUAUGUAGAUGCGAAGCAUUUGAUUAUAGUUUGGGCUUAAACUAAUAUUCUCCUACGUGACCCAGAAUGGUGCACCCACCCAACCUUGAGCUUGGCUAAGCUAAAAUUUGUCCACAGGUGAAGAUGAACCCAACCUGAAAUGGUAACCUGUAUUGAUUACCUGUACUGAUUCCAUUAUUUUCAACUUAUAUUACCCUCUGAGAAGAAGAAUAAAAUAUACUUGAAGUUGAUGGCCUUGAUUAGGGUGAGCAGUGAGCAUCAAGACAGGUUAAGGGAGAGAUAAACCAAGGUAGACAGUGAAUGAUGUGGAGGUAGAUUUUGGAGAUCAGAGGUGGUAAGUGAAGGGCAAAAUGCCGGCAUCAUCAUGAUGUAAGAGUGCAGGGAACAAGAGAGGAGACAUAAUGAUUCUUUCUGGAUGUUCAAUUUUAUGGCAAUGGUUUUCAAUCCGUUUUUAGGAUCAUAUUGGAGAAGCGAGGAUCUUUUACCGAAGGUGCCAUUGCUUAGAGAUCUUAUGCCACAUUAAAACAUGCUUCAUGUUACUUUGAUAGUGAUCCAGACCAACUUUUUUUCUAGGGAAAUUAUAUGAUAAUAAUUAUUCCAUUUAUUGGAUUCAUGUAUUUCCUGGAGAAAUAGACAGUAAUGGCUCAAGAUAGGAAUAUUAAAAUAAAUGAUAAUAUAUCUAAUUGGGAGGGAGUAGUUUGAAUUCUGUUUUUCCUUCAAUUUGAACAUAAAAACACGUCGCUAGAAGGCAACGCAAUUUGAACUUUUCUCCAUUUUCUCCGCACAUGCAACCUCAGUUAUUGUGAUUGGAGGUCUUAGAUUUAGUGAUAAAUAAAGGGUAGGCUUGUCUGCCAAAGUUAAAUGGCAUCCAUAUCUGAAUAUUUCUAGAUGAAAGGAUUAUAAUAUCGAGUGUACUGGCUGCUACAUGCCAUACCAGGCAGGUACUGGUACUGAGCAUUCCCUUGGGACCAAUUUCUGGGUGAAUUGGCCUUCCCUGAUUUGGCUUUGAACCAGUUCUUUUCAGCCUAGUACUGCUUGGUAUCAUGCCUAAAGGUGUUUUUACUCUUAUUUCUUUGGUUUCUGCUUGGUAACAAGCCAGCUUGUGCACUGUGUCCGUAUGUGUUUCAUAAUGUACCAGCUAGUGACCAAUAUGAGCAUGUAUUCUAGUUUUUUAAAACCUUGUUUAUAAGGCACUCAAAGUCUUUCAUGUUCCAUGCAUCCUAAAGAGGUAUUAUACAUUUUUCAAUAGAUAAAUGUUGUAUGUACAGCUGCAUGAAUUGAUAUUAUGCAGGAUAUUCUGACAAAUCACGGACUUAUGGAUGUCGGUCCUUGUGGGCUAUCAGUCUGUUCACCAGAAAAUCAUGUCUGACACUUUGUUUACUUUGGAAUUUUUGUUCUCUCUCCCUGCCCCCCCUCUCUCUUCUGUUCUCUCUCUUUUUUUUUCUUUUUUUUUUGAUUCCUUAGCCAAAAUGGUUGCAUGUUCUCGUGGAUGUUUACAAGUCCAUGGCAAUUUUCUUACUUGCUAUACUAAAAUAGGCCUCACUUAACACCUCUCUUUUGUAUUUAUUUCUAGGCCCUUUUCAGUUUGACAAGGUUGGUCCUUUAUUUAACUAUGGGUGUUUCAGGUAUUCACGAUCCCCUUCUCCUGAUAGGAUGUACCCUAGCUCGAGAUCUAGGGGUCGGUCUCGAACACCCAUUCCCAGAUCACGAUCACGAUCUGGAAGCCGUAGCAGGUAUGAUGCUUACAUUGACAUUACUAAAUAUAGUUGAUUUUGUGCUUCUAUCAAGCUUAUUUGAUAUGUGGAUUUAACUAUGAGAUUUGUCGUUUAUGACCUGUGGUUGCAGGGAUGAUUCGGUAAAUCCUGGAAAUACUCUCUAUGUAACAGGCCUGUCGAGUAGAGUCACAGAAAGAGAUCUUGAGUAUCACUUCUCCAAGGAGGGCAAGGUUAGUUUGUGUUACAUAUUUGUUUAGCCAUAUUGAUGUGUAUUAACUACUUUUGUAUUCUUAGGUUAAGGGAUGCUUUCUCGUUGUUGAACCCCGUACUCGUGUCUCUCGUGGUUUUGCAUUUGUGACAAUGAAUACAGUUGAGGGUGCUGACCGUUGUGUCAAGUAUCUCAAUCAGUCAGUUUUGGAGGGCCGAUACAUAACUGUGGAGAAGGUAAUAUUUUGCACCAUGUGUACCUAGAUGAUGUUCAGGGGAACACUUUUUCACCUUUUCUUUCUUUCCUUCUUUUUCUUUUGUUUUUUUUGACUUGGAGGUUUUUGAUUAUAUUCAGAAGAAAAUUGCCUCAGCUAUGUUGGCAGCAAUCAAGAUGAUGAGACAAUCCAUCUCAACUUUAGUCCCACAGUUGAUGAAUGGCCAGCCUAUUGUUUUUUCCAUGCUUCAAAUCAGCUAAACAUUGCAAACUUGUCCAACUAAACAACCUCAGCAUUCACCUUCAACUCUCAACUAAUCAACGGACAAUACCAACUCUUUAAGCGGGAAUUUAUGGUACCUGAUACCUAGCAUAUAUCUAAUGAUGCUACUAGUCAUGCCUAGUGUCAAAUGUUGUUCCGGUAGUAUUAAAUUUCUUAACCCUUUGCCAAUGAGUUAUAUCAUUUAGUGCUCGUCAUACUUUUAUUUCUGAUUUUUAACCGGAGAUGUUGGUGUUUCGUAUGUGUGCUUUUGCUUUUUUGCUAUGUUUUUCCUUUUCCUUAUUGAUUAUAUGCUUUUUUGAGUAUCAUGGAUGGAAACUGUAAAGAAUUUGAGGAGUUCUGUUGCUUUUCAGUCGAGGAGGAAAAGGCCACGGACACCUACACCUGGAAACUACCUUGGGGUGAAAAGCACCCGAGAUACCAGUAAGUUUUUUGUGUUUUCUGAUGAGCACAGCAUAAUUUUGAGCUUGUUUUGAGUCUCAAUACUUUGUUCUUCCAGUUCGUUCAGUAGCAGGCUAAUUAUUUGUUUCUAAUUUCUUUAUACAUCCCUAUGCUUGCUGCAGGAGAUCGUUAUGACCGUGACAGGUACCGUGGAGGCUACGGUCGCGAUGACUAUGGUGGUGGGUACCAUAGAUCGCCAAGACGUUCACCAUAUCGAGGUGGUCGAGGUUUCUCCCCUCUUCGGUCACCUUAUGGUGGUAGAUCAAGAAGGGAGAGGUCAAGAUCUAUUCCUUAUUCUCCAUAUAUAAGUCCAGAUAGAGGCUAUGGUCAUCGUGCAAAUGUUUAUGCCAGGUAAUCGUUAAUGGGCAAUACAUGUUGGAGCUCUACGGUCAGUUUAUCCUCUAUGCUUGAUGUACUUAACUAUUCUUGGGGCAUGUUGCUUGGAGUUAUAUUUAUGCUUGAUAUAACCAUAGCUUUGUUCAAGACACUAGUUUAGGUACUGGACGAUCCUGAUAUUAGUUUGAGAACGCUGGGUUAGCUUAUGAAGGAUGAUGAAGACUUGGUUCUUGGCAUGAGUUUUUACUUGUGGUUAUGGUGACUCUUGCUUUUAUGGUACAAUAUACUUGCAUUUUCAGUGGGCAUGCGCUGUAUAUUGUUUAACUGCAUUCUGGUUCAUGCAGUGAAUAAUAUGCUUCAUUUGCUUGCAGAUUAUUUAAAAUUAUGUUUUUCCAGCUGCUUUGCUUGUUCAUGCCUGAAUCCUACCAAUUUGUCUGUCUUUUUUUCACGGGCCAUUGACCGAGAACAUGUCUACAUGUCUGUAUUGCAUAUGCAUUGAGAUGCCUUGAUUUUGAGCAGGUGUAUGUGACUGCUUAUAGCUGCUUUCUCACACCUUUUAAGAUCUUCUUGGCAUCUGAUAUCAAAUGCCUUUUUUUUACCUUAUUAUUAUGUUGUAUAACGGUGCUCAUCAUGUGAUGCAUAGAUGGUAUGCUCUGUUGAUGUAUAUUCAUCAGGACAUCUCAUGUUCUUUCAUUAUCUACAUUGUAAUCGAAUGCACAAAUUAAGUGCCAUUUCGUACUACUAUGGAAUAUAUGAAAUGAUGUUAUGAUUUGCUAUUGAGUUGAGGAAUGUGCAGUUAAUUUAGGGAGGAAGUUGAGGUACUGAAAGCUCCAAAUAGUGGAAUUCAUGCUUGCGCUGGGUCGGGUAGUGUUCUCUUUUGUGUCAAGCCUGAUCCACGUUGGGGAUGAAGCUGACCUGUUUGCUGUGGGUGUGAGAAGGUAGGGUUUGUUGGACAUAAUGAUCCAUACGCUUCUAGCAUGCUCCCAGUCAAUUAAUUCAUGGCAAAAGUGUUUCCAUGUUAAGUGUAGAUGGGGGGCAAUCCAGAGGGACAGAGACCUCCUGUAGGCAAUGGGACUUGCAUCUCAUGGUGUUGAAGCCAUGCAUUUGUACUUGAUCAGUAGUUUAGCUUGAACUACUUGAGGAAUGGCUGGCUGUGUAAUGGAUUUUAAGAAAAUAUCUUAGCAUGCGAAAUAAAAAUAAGCAUAUAUUGUGGAGGGUGUAUGCCAAAACUAGAAACAGGAAAGUGAGCAAUAGGUAUAUUUGAUGAAUUGCAAGUAUUUUUGCAAUCAAAAUAUGGAGUAGUGAUUGAGAUGGUAUAGAAGGGAUAUUUUAGGAUUUGCUGAAAAAUUUAGGAAGACAAAAAGGUUUAAAGUAAUAUGAGUAGAAGUGCUGAAGGAAUAAAAGAAAGAGAGAUGGCUUGUUUGUUUUGCAGAAAGAAUUUUGUCUUAUUGAAAUAGUUUUAUUUUUUUUGAAAAGUUGAUUCUUAAAAAUUUGAUAUCUAAAAAAAUAGUUUGGUUGAUAAUGAAAAAGUAGCAUAUUCUAUAUAUCUAAUUUUCAAUUAGGAAUUAAGAGAGGCAAAGUUUUUUUUGUCCUUCAUAAAUUUUUUUCUAUAAAAUAUAAAAAAUAUUUUUAUAAGAAUAAUAUUUUUUUAUUUUAAAAAAUUCUAACUAAAUAAUUUUUAUUUUAUUUUUUCAUUAACGACACUUUUCUUUUUCAACUUUUCCUUCCUUUUUCCCACGAGCUGUCUAAAAGUUAGUAAUUAUCUAGGGCUUGUUUGGUUCGCGGAAAGUAUUUUUUCUCCUAGGAAUAUGAUUUCUGGAAAACAAAUUCUUAGGAAGAGAAUUUUUAGGAAAGUACUUUUAGUAUGUUUGGUUGAUUAUGGAAAAUUGACAAAUUUUCAAAGUGUUUAUGUUUGGUUGACCAUCCAUUUUUCUGAAAAAAUUAUUUAUAAUUUCUAUUAUGCUCUUAAUAAAAAUUAUGUUUUUAAUAUCUUUUUAAUGCUUCAUUAAUACUGAAGGAUUUUUUUGGAAAAAAUAAAAAUAGAGUGAUUUCUGCUUCAUGGAAAAGUAAUUUUUUCAUGUUUCUUAUGAAAUUUUUUUUCAUUAAAUGUGGAAAUCAUAUUUUUAUGAGAAUAUAAUUUUUUCAUUUUUUUUAUUUGAAUAUUUGAAAACUUCAAUCGAAUAAGAAGCAUUUUAUUAUUUUUUUUGGUUGACCAUAUUUUUUUUUUACUUUCUUUUUCUGCGAUACCACUUAAUAUCAUGCUUGUUCGCUGCACCAUCCCAACGAAAGCCCUGUAACGUAGCAUGAUUAAAACAAGCCCCGUAGUUCUAGGAGCCUCGGCCUUGAUUGCCAUUAAAAUCCGAGGGAUGCGGUAAGCCAUUAAGUGCUUUAGUUCUCGAGCCCAUAACCUAAUGAUAUGUACCAUGCACCUAAGCCUUAGGUGUAGAUCCCGCAUAGCCAAACGUUGGAUCAUGAAUUUUAGAUCUUUGAGAUCUUUGGUCAUUUAAGUUAUUACUUAUUACUAACCUGGGAAGUGGGAACCCAUUUUUGUAGCUAUUGGUAAUUAUUGAUCCCAGUAGUUCAUUUCACCUUUGCGCAUGUUCACGUGUCCCUGGCAUAGCACGAGAGUGUAAUGUAAAGGUUCUUCGGGUGGUCCAAGUUUUGGGCCUCUGACGUCUUGUCUGAUAAUCUCCUUUACACGAGAAUUAAGGCCAAGGACAAGAUUGGUCCCUGUCCUUCGCCAGAAGGCCAGCACGAAUAUCGGCAAUCUCUGCGCCUCUCUCUGGUUGCUGCACGGUAAAAUAUAAACGGAAAGAGAUGCCGACAUCAUCCAUGAAGAUGGAUUAAGAAAGAAUUUUAAAACUAAAAUUACGAUUAUCAGAUAGCUUUUGCAUCCAUCUUCUAUCAUGCCGGACCCUAUUCUCUUUUGCAGAAUUAUUGGUGGAUGGUGUCUACGUUGCUUUCCAUCGGUAUUUCACAAAUAUUUAUAGAAAAACUAAUAAUAUAGUUAAUUGGAUGAUGUCUCAUGCAAUCAAGUACGUUAGAUCUGUAUUAUUGGAUUCUUCGAUAAAUAUUUUAAUUUAAUUGUUAAAUAUUUUAUUUUCUGAUUCUCAUUAUGUAUCUAUAAUUGAAUGGAUUAAUUUGUCCAUUCACCAAAGAAUAUUUACAAACUUUAUGUAAAGUUUGCCUGCUAUAAAUUGUUACUGCAUGCUUUAGUUAGACCAUCUUUCUUUUGAUCAUAACCUUGUCAGCUUUGCCUUAUUUUGGUGGGUCCUGUAGCUUGGUUUUUGUAAAUCAUGAGCCAUUACCAGACUACAUGGUCCGCUUCUCUAAUCAUAGACAUUUUGAGUUCCAUAAAAGCUAAUAUCGAAAAGCAGAGAAAACUGAUUUCUUUCUAGGUCUUGCGUUAGCCAUAAUGACAAUUUUCUUUGAAUAAGUGGAAAUUCUUGAAUUAUUCUCAUUUUUUUUUACUUGGACUAGACAUCAAAUUAUUCUAAUAAAUGGAUUUGUCAAGAAAUUCCUAAGUAUUCACAAACUUUCUGAUUUAUUCAUAAAUUUUUCAUUACCAAUUCAGCAAUCCUUAUUUUCCUCAAAAAUUCAAGAGUCCUUUAUGACUUACAGACCAAUGAUACUAUAUUUUGUUGAUUCUGAAGUUGUUUCCUAUAUUGUUUACUAUAUUUUUGUUAAUUCCUUGCUAAUUUUAUCUAAAAUUUUUGAUGAAUAUUUUUUUGUUACAUCCCAAACUUCAUCCCAUGACAUAGUAGCAUAUCAUCAUGGGUAUGUCCUCAAAGAAUAUGCAAGCCCUCCAGAUCUGAACCAAGUAUUCAAAACUAGGAAUAUAUAAAUCAUAGUUAACAUUCCAAAGAGCAACUAAAUAUUUGCAUCAAGAGAGACUGAGAGAGAGAUGUAGAGAGAGAGAGAGAGAUCCUCAAAGGCUCAAGCGGAGGAAUGGGGCAGUGGUUGGGGGUGAUCGCUGACCCCCUCCUCGCGGUGUCUUCACGUGCCUCCGUUCGGGCACCGACACGCGGCUGGUCCCCUCACCGGCUGACCUGACCAGGUCCGGUCCAGCUGGACCGGCCGGUCCUUUUAUUAUUUUUAUUAAUCAUCUGCCGUGCCCUAAAUGUUUUCCAUUGGCCAAAUUGUCCUGGAGUGGCUAGUUUCAGAUUAUGGUAUAGAUGCCAUGUGUUUAUUCCCUAGCAGGUUUUUCUACAGUGCUCCAAAAGGUAUUUUAUUCCUUCGACCCCUAUUCUAUACUUGGCCGGUCCAAUUUAACGUAGACGGUUUAGAUUUCUCCAUCAGCAGCUGGUUGCAGACGGUAAUGCGUAUGGCUAGUGCGAUAAAUAUUUUAAAUAUUAAAAUUGUUUGAACAUUGAAAUGAAUGGCAGGUCCCAUAAUCAACUCAAAGUUCAGAUGUUUUGUUCAAAUGCCCUAAUCCCACCCCUCCUCUCGUAAAUCCUAAUGCCUGGUGGGUAGCAACGGUGAGGAUGGUUUGCGGGGUGGCUGGGUCACCGUCGAAGGUGGAGGAGGAGCAGAGGGGCUGGCCGAGGGCGGCGGUGGAGAAGGAGGAAGAUUUAUAGGCUCAAAAUUAAAUUUUGGCAAAAUUGUGGACAACUAAUUUUAGCAUAUAGUUGUGGAUUACUAUUGAAGUCAUUGUUGGCUUCAGCAUACACCGGAGGAGAUGGGCUAGUAAGGAGCAACUUGGUAAAAAGUUGUUGCAUGAGGAGCUUGUCUUACUAUCAGUAGGUGUUUAUAUUAUCAUGGUUUUAAUUUUGGAUUUAGUGUUGGUGUAGAUUAGUAGUUGGGAAGACCUUAAAUUUUAAAAACUGUCUAUGGUUUGGACCGAGUUUUAGUUAGGUUUGGUGUUUAGCUAAUGCUUUGUUGCCAGCCACAUGAAGACUUUGAUUUUUUAUUUUUUUUGCUCGAGCCGGUUCUCCAUGGUUAAUGAACCUACGAAAGGAUUUUACAAAAUAAAUCUUAUUUCUAGUUUACUUCUAUUGUUGGUGGAUCGCCUAACGUGCUCUAGGAUUUUUGUCGUGCUCCUAAGUUCAUCCAAAGCAGAAGGAGAUAGAGGUAGGUUUAGUUUUAUAGAUUAGCAGCCUUUGAAAGUUUGAUGAUUGGCGUGCUCCAUGGUCUCUGAUAACUAGAACUUAAAUCUAUAAAACUUAAACUUUAAUCAUUUAUUGAAAAACUUUUAAUUUCAUCUAAGUAAUUGAUCAUUCUUAAGUUUGCAAACUACUAUCUUCCAAAAUAUAUAUUGAUAUAAUUGAGCAUAUUACAAAUAAGAAUCUACCAAAGCAAAUAAUGAAAUAUGAAUUUUUAAGUGUAAUUCAGUGAAAAUAGAUAAGAGGAGAUGCCAUUAUUGAGAUGAAAAAAGAAUUAGUUUAAACGAGAGUUUAUUCAAGAAUUUAUGAAAGAUACUUAGAGUAAAGGAGAAGGUUUAUAUGAUUUUUUUUUUUGGUCUAGUUAGAUCAGGUCAUGUCAGCUCGAGCCUAUUGUUUGUUGACCCAAAAUAGACCUAAUGAUAUGUAGGUUGGGUUGAAAAAUACAAGAUCCAUACUUCAUAUGAAAUUUAGAUCGGAACCAAUUUUUCUGCCUGAUCAACCCCAUGGGUUUUCAAAUACAGAUCGGAUCAGAUCUAAUUAGGUCGGGACUGGGUUGGUUCACAAGUCAAACUAACCUAUUUGCAGCCCUAUCCGGAUUGAAAUUAUUGGAGUCAACCCAAUUCUUUCUUCUAGCUUGUCAAAUUCCUGAAAUGAAAAACUGACUAGCUUUCCUUCUCCAAUUCUCAUUUUGUUGGUAGGCAGAAGUCUACUCUGAAGGUCCUAUCAAGGUAUUGCCACAAAUUCUGAUUAUGAUAUUCCUAGUAUUGCAAAGUCAAGUAAUUGCAAUCAUCCUAAGCCCAAAAUCUUGGAAUCUCUCCUUACAAAGUUGCCUAACAUUUAUGCCAGCCUGUUUAAAUUUAUAUUUCCUUUAGUCUAAUGCUUUCACAUAUCCACUAAAAGCAUGGGUUAUAGCUACUACCACGCAUAAAAUAAACAAAUAGAUAAAUAAAGAAGAAGAGUCUAAUGCUUCACAUAUCCACUAAAAGCAUGGGUAUAGCAACUACCACACAUAAAAUAAACAAAUAGACAAAUAAAGAAGAAGAAGAAGAAGAAGAAGGAUGCCAGCCUUUGCCUGUGUUUUGAUGAAGUAUUGCUGCAAUCCAGAAAUCAUCCAACACAACAGAUUCAACUCAGGCGAUCCUGCGCGGCAGUCAUUAGAAUUUUGUUUUUGAUUAAAAAGACCUCAAGAACUUGAGCCUAGUAGAAUGAGUUUGAAGCUAGAAGUAUUUCUAAUAAAUAAAUCCUUGACUUGAGAAUGAGAAGCAGGAGAUCGCCACCUAAUACUUCAUGAUCUCUCUUCCUUCACUACAUCUUAAACCUGUUUCAAUAGAUUAACCUAAGAAAUAGAUGAAGAAAAUGAAUAAGAGACAAGAUGAGGAUGAUGAUCUGAGAAGCAAGGUCAGACAUGUACCUCAAGAAUCCAUUCGAAAUCUUGGACAGCUCAACAUGGUUCACUCUUAUUAAUUUAUACUCCCCUUCGUGCUGAGGAGAUUAAUUAUAUGAUUACCACUUGAUUCACAUCGAUUCCACCCCAUAUCGUAUCUGCGAGAUCCCCAUAUCCUACAUGCAGGUUUCUCCAUGGAAGUAAUUUUUUUUUUCCUCCUUUCUAAUAUGGCAGACAGGAAGGGUUCAACCUUAAAUCACAAAACACUCGCAAUAUCUUUGACAUUCACAACGGUAAUGACUGAUACAUUUGCUUUCUAUAGCAGCCAAGAGAAGAAUAAACCAUUACAUGCAGCUUAUGAGCCCUUCAACAUGUUCUAGAUAAGAUAUUUAAAUCUGAAAAAGAAAAAAAAAGAGAGCAAAAGAUGUUUGGCCUUACAUCAACUUAUAUCCUUAAAUCAUUUAUUUCAGCCACCUACCAGUCUUUCUCAGUCACAAACAGUUCAUGGUGGAUGACAUGGUUCUGAUUAUAACAUUUCAUGGAGAUUAAGAAGGCUGUUUUGGGCCCAGAAUUAUUUACCAAACCGAAAGUUGGGGGAGCAAGAAUCAAUAGUGAUACAACAAGUAAAAUAGCAUCCGCAACACUCAUUCCAAUGGAGAUAUUACUCUAAAUCUUGCCCAAAUCUUUCUACUACAAUGGACUAAUUGUAGUCAUGAAAUAUAUGGCUCUUUUACUGGCUCCAGCAAGACUGCCAGAACAUAGUUCACAGGCUAACAUAACAGAAAUCAUCAAGCGAGUUCAAAAAUCUGUCAGUGACCAUCAACAUUGUUGGACCAUUUGUCAGGUUACCUUCAUCUACCAUGCCUUCAGUCAAACUCACACAGCAAAUCCUCCACUUUCCAAGAAAAUGCUGAGCUUAAAUCAAAAAAAAAUUGAAGAAGAUGCACAUCAUGUUAUACAAGUAGGUUAAUUUAGUGCAUUGAGAUAUAAGUGCCUUAGAUCACAGCAAAUAAAGAAACAAAAAGCCUGCAAAGAAGAACAGAUUAUGGGAUAAGGAAAGAUAUGGCUUCUAUCUUUUUUUUGUUUAACAGGAAUUGUAGAGUAGGACCACAAUGCAACUUGCUAUCCAGAAAGAUCAGUAAGAUACCAUUUACAAUAUAAAUAUGAGCCAAAUUGUCAUCCAUCUUCAUCUACCAAAUACCUAGUCAUAUGCAGUGGAAUAUUGUAAAGUAUAUUUGACACGAGGUGCGAAUAAUUUCAUGUGCCCAUGCAUCCAGCACCCAUGAAGAAUUGUGUUUCUUGCAAGUUUAAUCAAAUGCUUCACUGGGCUGCAGGGAUAGAGACCCUGAGAGAAGAGAAUGCAGAUAGUUUUAUUUAAUGAGCACAAACAAUUAAAGAUAGACUUAGAGCCCUGCAACAAUUGGCACAGUGGCCCAAGGAACAAGGCCAAAAGAGCUUGCAUUGAGGAAUGAGUGGUGGUCCCAGAGCCAACCAAGACACCCUCCUAGCAGCACUGGACUAUAGGUGGCCGUGACAGCUAUUGAAUAAUUUCUUAGCCUACCACCCCUUCCUUCUGAUUUCCCACAGAUCUGUGGGUCAAAGCUUUCAGGGCAUGGGAGUUAAAUGUGAUGGUUUUAGGAUUGCAGAUAUCAGUGAGAAAAGAUAUGGAAUCAUUGACAUAGGAAGGUGGAGAGAGAGAGAGAUUAAAGAAAGAGGAGUUUUCAUUCCCAUCUUUGGCUAUAUAGGUUCUAAUGCAUCUAGCAUACCUUGACGCAUUAAUUAUUUCAUUCAUUACUGGGAAUAAUUGUUCCUAUAGCUUUCAUUUGUUAUUCCUUUGGUUGGUGCAACUUCAUACCACCCUCCGUCCUUUGUUACUUUGCGUUUGAGGUGAGAGACAAUGGAAAAGAUGGAGAUCGAUGAGCAAAGCCUCCUGCAGGAGCUUUUUGCUCCAUGGAGGGAGACAGUUGAACCCAGCUGCUUCCAAGGGGGAAUUGACUGCUUCCAAGGAACUGCAAGCCCGGUCGUCUCACCGAAUUACGCUCCAUUCGAAGAGCUAGUCUUGCAGGCCGAGCCCAACUUCGAUUGCCUGAGUGAAGUCUACUGUCCAUUUGGAAGUGGCUUCCUGUCCGCAGCACCAGAGUUUCAAUCCUCAUGCACCAUGACGACACAUAGCACCAUUUCUUGCUCAACUCAGGAAAAUGAAGAGAUUGGUGUGAUCCCCGAAGGAAGCCACAGCACUUGGUAUCAGGAGCAGAGCAUCUGGAAGGUAGAGCCAAUGCAAACUAUGGAUACUCCUUUAGUCUUUGGUGGCGCAGGAUCUUCGUGUCUGGAGAGACAGAAUAGCCGGCCGAAGAAGGUCGAUGGCCUGCCAUCGAAGAAUCUAAUGGCAGAAAGGAGGAGAAGGAAGCGGCUUAAUGACCGGCUUUCACUGCUAAGAUCCAUUGUUCCUAAGAUCAGCAAGGUGAUGCAUUGAAACUCUUGUUUUAUUUAUCCCAUGAUAUUUAUUCUCUUCUUUCCUUGGUUACAUAUCUACAGCUUUGUUUGCUAGGUUCUUCUAAAUUUACAUGAUCUUUGCUGCAUGCUGAUACUAGUGUAUGUUACUAGAUGGACAGGACAUCAAUCCUUGGAGACACCAUUGAUUAUGUGAAAGAGCUUUUGGAGAGGAUCAAGAGCUUGCAGGAAGAGAUUAAAGUGGGUCAAGAUCAGCUGAAUCUACUGGACACUUUGCAUGGUGUCAACCCCAACGAGAUGUUGCCAAGAAUCUCUCCCAAGGUAACUCUUGCGUGCAAUUUAGUUUACAAGCCCCUUGCUCAGCUGCAUCUGAUCCAUGAGAGCAUGCGCAGUUCCAUGUCGAAAGGAGGGAAGGGGACACCAGGAUAGACAUUUCCUGCACGGCGAAGCCGGGUUUGUUGCUUUCUUCAGUGUAUACUUUGGAGGCUUUGGGGCUAGAAAUCCAACAGUGCGUUGCUAGCUGCUUCAGUGAUUUUGGGAUGCAAGCUUCUUGCUCAGAAGUAAGAUGCCUAGCUUUAGAUAUUUUUGUGUAAAUUAGAGUCCCAACUUAUGUUACUAUUCUGUGAUUACUUAAUCUUUCUGGAUCUCUUGUGACUGGUUAGGACAAGGAGCAGAGGGCAUUCAUAAGCUCUGAAGAGAUUGAGCAAGCGUUGUUCAGGACUGCUGUUUAUGGGGGCGAGUGUGUUUAAGAAAGAGUAACAAUACAAUAUAGGGAACAUAUUUUUCUGUUUAUUUAUCAUUUUAAGAAGCUUCAGAGUUAUUUAGUGGUGUCCGAGAAGACCUUUGAUGAGAAGAGGUUAACUCUUUGCUUCUGUUAGGGAAAGAUUGCCAAUAAGAUUGUUAUGCAUGUACUUAGAGAAGCCUAGUCUCCAGCAUCAAACAAUGACUAUGUAGUUGAAUAUAGAGUUCAUCAAGAAAUGCGAAAUGAAUAAUGUUUCCAGUUUAUUUUCUGCUCAGAAAAAAGGAAAUGCUUCCAGUUUAUAUUCAUACAAGAAAAGAUCUUUCAGUUUAUGAAAUGGCUGAUUGUAGUCCAUUCAAUUGUUCAAGAAUCCGCAAAAUACGUAGCGAUGUCUACCGACUGCUAUGCGUUUACCUUCAUCACUUAUAAUCAAUCAAUCUGAUGACUUCUUCAGGCCAAUCUAUCAUUUGCUUGCACUAGGGGGAUUUUUGGGAACAUUUGGGCUCAAAUCUGUAAAGGAUAAGAGCCCAAAGUGGUGUACUUGAUUCACCAUUUAAAUCCCAUCAUCGCAUGAUAAUUGAUCGGAAACUAACAUGGAAUGCUAGAUCUAUGACGGUUGUAUAUCGGUGCCAAAUCGGUGGUUUUUAAGUAGCCUUAUGGGGGGAUAUGAUGCUACAAAAAUAUGAAACUCCUGUAAGAUUGGCAUGUACUGUAGGGUGUUUGGAAGUAAGCAAUGAUUUUUUUCACUUAAUCAAGGAGUGCUGUUUCUUGAUGCUUAGAUAACAUACAUGUGAGGUUAGGUAAGUUGGAGCUUCAAAUUGGUCUUUCUACACUACUAACUGGAACAGUUUUAAAGAAAUGGAAGUCCACUUGUAGAUGUUUCGAUAUACAAGUCUGCGACUCGAAAUACAAGAGUAGAGACGAUAAUAAACAAGACGGCAUAUUUCUUUUCAGGCAUUUCUUUUGAGUAGACCAUCUGAACAUCUUCUCUAUUGGGAUUAUGUUGGUUCAUUGCCCAAUUCUUGUGCUAAGAGAAGAGAUCUUUCUUGAACAAAGAAGAUAGUCUAUUCUUUUUUUAAAGUCAAGUUGGAGAAUUGUAAGUGGACUCUUAGUUGUGUUGCUAUACAAUGGAUUUUCUUUUUCAUCUUCAACCUUUGGAGCUAGACCACAUGGCUUAAGAUGAGCUAUGUAAUUUUUUUUUUUAUCUUCCAAGAUCUCUUUCUUUGGUAACACAACCUAUAGUCUUUGUCUUUGUGUUAUGUACGAUCAUCUUAAAAAUUAUUAGGCUUUCAUGCAACUUGCAACAAGGAGUCAGGUUGGGUUGAGUCAGUGCCACAGCUAAUAGGUUAAGCCAACUUGCUUUCCUGUUUGUUGAAUAGUGCAAAACUCUGAAAGGUAACAUGACCAUUUCAAGUUAACGUAAUGGAUGUCUCUGAUGGUAAGUGUAAGCCAAGAAGCUAUAUUUCAAGUUUCUAUUCAAAUUCUCAAAUGUAGGGAAUUUCCUUUGGACUUCUGAAACAUUGGCGUGACCGCAACUUUCAGGAAUUGCUUAUGCAUUUCUCUCGAGAAAUACGUUAAAGUUUUAAAUUCAUCUAAUAUUUCAAUCUUUACAGCUGGCUAUCAACCUUGAGCAAGCCAUUUUUCUGGAACUAGAUCGGAUAGAUACUAGAGAUUUGUUAUUAUGAGCACAGUAACUAUUAUAGUUGUCAGAAUCAUGCACGUUCUCGGAUAUCACACCUACCACAUAUUGCAUUUACAAUUUUGGCUAUAUUAGCUCAGAGCAAUCUCCAAAAAUCAUGGAAUCCAAUUGUCAUAUUCAAACUUAGUAUCUGUAUCAAAUUAUGAGAUUUUACUAUUAUAUUAUACUAUACCUGAUUCCUAGUAUCUUUCCAUAGUCAUGAGAUUUUGUUGUUACAUUCUACUAUAUUUAGUCCCCCCGAGUCCAGGAGCUCAACUUAUAUAUAAAGCACACUAGUGCAUGAACAUAAUAAAUAAUUCAAAUCUCAUUUUCAAUACAAAUUUUUCAAUAACUGAUCAACAAUGACCUUACCUUACUUAUCUUAUCUUGGUCUUCAACCAACCAAUGCCAGUGUGCCAUACUAAGGGACUAUGCAUAGUUUCCCAAUAGAAUAAUAUAGGUUGUAAAGUCCAAAGUCUUACAUAACCUAAAACUUCUCUUUUAAAGAGAACUAGGAUGGCUGACUGCCAAGAGUAAGUGAUAGAACCAAGAUCUCUUGUAAUGGUAGAAGAGGCAUUACCGACUCAACUAGUUGGUAAUUUGGUUUCUCCUUUGUAUCUUGAAACUAAAUAGAUCGGCUUGCCAUACGUUGGAUCCCAAUUUUUGAUGCAAAUUUUUACUCAAAAGAAAAUCUCGAGUCAAAUUAAAGGUAUAAUUGGAUUAAGUAAAUGCCGAUUUCACACCUCUCCAUUCUCUCUCUCUCUCUCUAACAUUUCAUUGAUAGAAUGAAUGGUUAAAUAGGCCAACAACCUCAAAACAGAAAAAUUAUACCCUACACUAUGUGCACCAUAUCAGCAAUGCACCAUAGGAACAAACCAAAGCAAGAUGAGCGCUGCAGCAAUUUGAAAUAAGUGCAUCAUGAAUAGAGCCCAUAGGAAUGAGGCGAAGUGAAUGACGUGGUGCACCGCUAUGUGGUGCACAUGGUGUAGGGUAUAGUUUCUCCUCAUAGCAAAUGAAAGGCUGAAACCAAGCUCAUCCAUCUCCGGAAUACUGAUGCAAGAUUGUGAAGGCAUUAGGGUGGGAGGUACUUGAGAGAGCUGACUAUUUUAUCGAGUGUUUUGAAUGCUUGUAAGAGCAAGAGUCCUCAGUAAAAUUGUUCAAAUCCUGUGACAAUAAAAUCUUGCACUAAUAAAAAAGUUUGUCUCCAUUUCUUUCCACUCUCACUUCUUCUCGAACACAUGAAACCUAGAGGGUAUGAAUCUGUCAAAGGUGUGGAAGCUAGACCUGCUCCGAGAUUAAACCGAGUCAGGUUCAAUGUUUGUUACGAACUCAACUUGACCUGACCCACCCUACCAAUUGCUAGCUCAUUAAGCCCAAAGAAAAUUGGGUGGGCCGCCCACGUAGAUUGGCACCCACGCCUCGGCCGUACUACCGAUCGUUAUCUGAACAUUAUUGCAUGCCACGUCAGGCCAGGUAACAAUAAAAUGAACUCUCCUAUAUAAAAGGUUAGCCCGGAGGACCUAAGGUAUGUAUGCAAUAUUACUCACAGAUUGAAAUUCUCUCCCUUCUAUAUUGUUGCCUCAUUAUUCUGGCUUAGAAAUCGGAGAGUCUUUUGCUGGAAACUCUUCGGCAAGCAAAUUUCUUGCAGGUCAUCUCCAGAGAAACUCGGCACUCGACGUGUCAACUGACCUGCUCAACCCGCCUUCAGCCGACCUCAGAGUCGUCCGAGCUGUACUCCCACCUCGGUUCGGAUUCGGCGGACGCUUUUUUUGAAGAUAAAACAUCAACAACGGGUGUUUGGUCCCUUUCAAACCAUGACUUAGGACUAGAUGGAGAUGGUGCCAGAGUGCUUCCAUCAACGAAACCCAAGAGAUGUUGGGCACGAAGUGUGGGAACAAAAAGAGACUUCCAUAAUGCAUAAUUACCUGCAUUUAGUUUGAUUGGAAUGAGGCUUGAGAUAUUAGAAAUCACUAUAGUAGGGGCUGCGGCACUUUGGGCUGAUGAUGUAACGGGUGGCGACACUUGAGAGCUUGCUGCAGAUGAAGUCAUGGCAGAGAUAUCAUGGCAGGCUGGGGUGGCGACACUCUGAUACCAAAUUACAAAGAGAGUUUUGACAAUGAACGGCAGCCCACGUUUUGAUUUCUCCUUCAUUGGAUAUUUAUAACAAAAUAUAUAUUGUUACAAUAGGUUACAACAAAAUGUUUAUUAGACAGUAGGUUACAACAAAUGUUGUUAUAAUUUAGAACCUAGAUUACAAAAAGAAGUUGUUAUGAGCUGGCUUCUUAGCAUGGUUUGAAUAUUUUCAAAUUAUUGUUGCUUAUGAUCUACCAUAUUCAUGGGCUCCUCUCUAACACUUCUAUCAGAUCAAUUGCCAUAGAUAGAGGUACAAAUGGGUCGGGUCGGGUCAUGAGUGACCCCGAUCCAAUUCGGUUCUUUAUUCAGGUCCUAAUUUUGGACCCAUAUUCAACCCAAUAGAAGAUCGGAUUGGGUCGGGUCCAUGUAUGACCCGGACCCAACCGAAAAAAAUCAGGUCCAGUUUGGGUCAACCCAUCCAUGACUUCAGAACUUGUUUAUACCUCCGCGGGUUGCGGCACGCAGGACCAAAUAAUUUUACAGAUUCGGGUUGGGUCGGAUCGGGUCGUAGGAUUGCAAAUACAAAAUUAUCCAACUUCCAAAUUGGUUGGAUCUAGUUGGGUUUGACUUCAAUAAGCCCAAAUCGACCCAGAAAGUAAAACGGGUCCAAUUUUAGGCCUCGACCGGUCCUAUGGGUUCUCUAAAAUGGAUUGGGUCGGAUCUAAGUAGGUCGGGUUGGGUUAUGGGUCAACCUGACCCAUUUGCCGCCAUAGCCACAGAGGACUUCCACAAGAAAAUCUACCCCUCACUUUCUUUCUAAUAGCCCAGUGGAAGCCACAACUGGGCUGGUCCAGCCUAACUAGAGAUGGGAUUUGGACCCAUUAUCCUCUCACUGGACCCGGAUGAUAGGAUUUUUGGUGGGCCCUCGGCCUACAUGACCAAUCAAAGUUUCUCGCUUCGAAAUCAAGUGCGUGCGAGGAGUAACGCACAAUUCUCGCCUACUAAGUUAAUUAGCAAAAUGGUCUCAUUCCAAAUCAAUCAUGAUGACUAAAAUUAAAAUAAUAAAAAAAAACAUGAGAUUAGGGUAGGUCUCAUUUGGACCUCCAAUUUGGACUGUAUGAUGACCAUCGUCUGAUCAAUGGAUGACAGUAGAAGAUGGGAGUGCAGGUAUUGGUGUGGGAGCUAGCAGCAUGGUUGCCCUGCAUUUUCUCCAUUUGGGAGACAAAGUGAAGCAAUUAUUGGACAUGAUUUGAAGCCAUACAUCAUGUCAAUUGAAAUACCAAGAUUGCGGUAGAUGCGGUGGACCCUUUUCAAUCCAGCUAGGUCCACCAUUAGGUUUCCUUUGUCCAUGGUGAGUAUUUCACAAAAAUGGCUUCUUUUUAGUGUAUUCUGACCUUUUAUUUUCCUUGACAGAAAUAGUUCAGUUCUAGGGAUAGCUAAGCUUUUAUAGAUAUAUUUCAAUCAUAUAUUUAAGCAAAGUUGAAUGUACAUAAUUUUUUUUUACAAUGAUGCACAUAUUUUUAAUACAAAUACAUGCAGCAUUAUGAUUAAGCCACGCUUGAUGGACCCUAGGGAUAGCUAAGCUUCAAUUGAAAUUUGUUUCGAGACUGAAUUUUGAGGUCAAUUUGAUUCAUUUAUUAUUUGGGCAGGCCUAAUUUAAGCUUAAUUUUGAAUUAAGCCAAGCAUGAGCUUGAUCGAUUAAUUUAUAAUAAUCUCAAAUCAAGCUGAAACUAAUUCGAGCCUCUACCAAGUUUGAGUCAAGCACAAUCCAACCUUGAAUUGAUAUUUAAUUGAGCUGAACAAUUAAAUUUGGAUACUAAUUAAUAGUUUAUCAUAAAAUAUUAAAUUUAAAAAUAAAUGAACAUACAAUGAAAUAUAUUAUCACCCAAAAAAUAUAUUAGGUUUAACUUGAUGGCUCUUCAUUUGACAAGCAUUUUUACUUAGAGUUAGCUUAAAGAAAUUCAGAGAGUUUCCAUAUCCUUUCUCGAUGAUGUCAAUAUUAUCUUAGGUGUUCUCCUUUCUUUGCUAUAUUAUUUCCGAAUCAUUAUGAAAUCCCUUUCCAAUUUUUGUUGGAAAAACUCAUAUUAUUCCAAAUUUAUUCUCCAACAUCUCUUCUUAAACAAUAACAAUCCAUCAUUUUAUUCUUGAUAUAUACAACUUCUAUAGCUUUUCUAGUAUGCUCAUUUUUUAUUCUAUCUUUUCUAAUUUUACCUUGUAUCCUUCUUUAACAUUCUGAUCUCCGCUACAUUCAACUUAUUUUUUAAAACUCUCUUUGAUGCUUGAAAUUCAAAUCCAUGUAGUAUUAAAAACCUUAUUUUUGUCCUAUAAUUUUUUUGAUCAAGAAAUUAUAUCAAUCAAAUAACAUCUUGAAACACCUCUCCAUCCAUACUAUUAUAUGCCUUCUUUUAUCUCCUCAUUGUUUUAUAUAAUGAAUUUUCAAUAUAAAAUUAAUUACUUUAUAAUAUCCCUUGUCUGUCAAUUUCAAAGAAGGACGUCAUCUUUAUUUACAUUUGCACUGAUUAAAUUUUUACUCUAUAAAUUUACCAAUCUUUCAUAUAUGAACUUUAAAUUUGUAUCCUAUAAACUUUUAAAUCUUGUAUACGUUAAGUUAAAUUAUGAAAUCGCGCUUAAUGAGUUGUGAUAGGUCUUUGCUUCGUAAUAUCCAUUUGUUUUCAUUUCUUUUAUCAUGAAAUUCCUAAGACUCCUGUUUGGAUUGAAGAUGAAAACAAUCACAAUUAAUUGCAUAGUAAUAGGUCUAAUAUCCAUGAUGUUUUUUUUGAUUAUACAAGGAAUUUGUUAUGUUUUAUAGCAAUUGCUUUCCUUUGUCAUUACUUGUUUAACCUUAUAAACAUUGAUGACUUUAUCCCAAGCUCAUUGAACUUAUAUAUAUAUUGAUUUGGCAAAUACUCAAUCAAUUUUUCUUUUAUUUUUUUUGUAACUUUUUGGUAGAUAAUAUAUUUCUUUCAAAAUGGAUAUCUAGAAAGAUAUUUUCCUCCCCAAACCGCUAUUACCUUCCCAUCCCUAAGAGGCUAAGACAGAGAAUCCGGGCUGGCUUCAACGUAUAUACCACCCAAACCUAUCGAAAAGUACCUACAACUCACAAAACAGCCGCUUCAACCGACUCGGAACCCAACACGUGUCAAACCCAUUACCACUCCAUCCGGCCACCCCUCCCCCGGAUGCGAUCACGGCCGUACGUUGGCGGGACAAAAGCCGUUAUAACGAUAACCCGCCGCGCAACACAGCAAAGACCGGACAGGACAAGAGAGGAGAUCGCCAAGGCGGUUUGGCCUUAAAAUACAAACAACAGCAAGAAAGUUAAGACCUCUCUCUGUUUUCCUUCACCUCUGUUCCUCUGCAGCCAAAUGGUGGACGCCGGGCUUCUUCUUCUCUCCCUCUGAACAAGAGAAUUGAUUUCUCUGGAUUGGAUGAGAUGGGCCAGUGCUUGUCGACCACGACGAGGAGGAGAGGCGGCGAGGGGUGGAAGGAUGGCGCCGCAUCGGAGAAGAUCGGUUGCCUCGCAUUGGCGAAGGAGCAAAGGUCCAGAUUUUACAUUAUUAGGAGAUGUGUGGUGAUGCUCCUCUGCUGGCACAAGUAUGGAAAGUAUUGAAAUUCUGUGGAGGUUGCGGUUGGGGGAUCGCUUUGCUUGUGAUCCAAUUUCACAACUUCUCUUUGCUUUCUUCUUGAUGUUAUGGUUGCUAUAUGUUUGUGGUUUUGUUGAAAUGGAAUUCAUUUAGAUUGGGAAAGGAGUGUUUGGUUUGAUUGUGUGAUUAGACUUGGGUUGAUGAACAUUGGAAUGUAUGAAGUAUGGGGUUUGUAUGCUGUCUCCCUCUGUAUGGCAUGGGGAAUGGUCAUGUUUGUUCAUCUCUUGAUUGUGCUUUUCUGCUUUGUGAGAAAAGUUUGGUGGUUUUUAGCUUUUAUUUUUGGAAAUUGUACUAUUUUCUUAUUUCUUAUGUCUUUGGUGUUCUACCUUUCCAUAGGCCAAAUUCAGGUGAGCCCUACUCUUUUGAUUAAAAACAAAGGUUCAUAUAUCAUUUUUAGCUAUUAGCGCGGUUUAUGCACAAGUUUUAUUUAUAGUUUAGUGUUUUACUUUAAAUUAUCUGGGUUUAAUCACAUCUUAUAUGAGGAAAGUAUGGGCGUGUUUCUUUUUAUCUGUAUUAUCUCCUAGGCUAACAACUGCUAUGACUAUGAGUUAGAUGAGAUGAUUUGAAUCAUUAAUAGGUUGGAUUCCUUAGAAAAGGAUCCAAAUUGGAACGGCUUUUGAUACUUUCUGUAAUUUGAUAGUGAAAGGUUUGCACUUUAGCUAGAGAGAAACUUUUCUAGCAGAUGCUGCUUUCCAUUAAAAAAAUAAAAAAUCAAUCUAGUUGAUGUUGCUGGUUGUGGUUAGCAAUAAUCGUUGUGAUUAGCAAUGAUGGUUUUAUGCUCAGAUGGUGUGAUAGAUAAUGUGAUUUUGGGGAAAGGAGCAAAAUGGCUCUAUUCUUGUAAAUAUAGAAGAUGUUUCUUUCUUCCCCUCUUGCUUUUAGUAUGUAGUGCCUAGUCCUCCUGUAUGAUUAUUUGUGCAAUUUAGAAUCCAAAGUUGUUUCUAUAUUUUGUUUCAAGUAAAGUAUCUUCUUUUCUUUUUUCUUUUACUUAGGGAGUCAACCACUUUAAAGAUUCCUGUCCUAACUUUUGAUGCCUCUAAAUAGGAAGUAAAGUUUUUAGUUAGGUAAAUUCAUCAUUGCAAUACUGUUUCUUACACCAGCUAUAUACAUGCACUUCCCUGUAGACUAGGAUUCCUCUCUCUCUUUCUCAGCUCUUGCUGUCUUCUGCAGACAUAAACCUACACCAUAUUCUUUCUUAAACUUAAGCCCAGCCUGAAAAUCCCAAGAAGAGGUGUUAUUUCAAACAAUCAGGAUGGGUUUCCUUAAGAUUACAAUCUUCAAUCAUCCUGCUUAUCAAGCUCAAUUCACAACAGUGGGGUGACAACUGCAUUUUUCGACACUGGCACAAGCGUAGAACUUUUUAACAUGAAAUCUUGACGGUCCUCGUCACGAAGACCAGCAUGAGACAGUCAUUUGGAUGUCUAAAUCCAUUGGAAUAAACAUUUGCUGCUUCAAUCCAAGUAGCCGUUCUUCUGAUUCCGUGCUCAUCCACUGCAUUUGUGAAAAUAUGGGAAUAGACAUGAGGGAGAAUGUGUGAUUUUCUUUUUAAAGGACCACUUUUAAGGCAUCAGAGAAGGAUAUUUCAGUAUGUGAACUAUAGCAUUUGGUUGGUAACUUCAAACUCAGUACUUUAACGCUUGUUAUUCACCUAGUUGAUUAAGCUAGGAAGUGUAAGAUGGAUUCGAAGGUAUUUGUGUAGACUAAGGAAUACGUAUAUAUAUUUUUACCAACCUGCUUGUUAGUGAUGCAUCUGCUUUUUGUUUUUAAUUAAUGCUCUGAAACUAUAGGCAGAGUUUUUGACCCAAGGGCUCACUUAUUAGUAUUUUAUUGCUAGGUAGAGACAGGUAGCAGCAUAGGUUGUUGUUUUCCUUUCUGAAAUUUAACUAUUCAAUGAUAUGAUUUAGGUCAUCAUUGCUACAUUCAUUGAUUGGCAUCUUAUCUCUGAUACCUAGAAUCCUAAUAUCACUAAAGUUCUUCUAGUUGCUAAAAAAAAAUUAUAUUUCCAAAUGAAGAAUGGGAGACAAACCAGAAGAAGACAGGAUGAAUUAACCAAGUAUUAUCUGAAAAUUUAGAAUCAGGAAAUGAGCAUAACAAGAAUUGUUCACUUUAGGAGAAAAAAGUUGAUAAAUUUUUUUUCCAUGUUAUUAAAAUUUUCAUAACAUUAACAAUUAAAUCCAUCCUGUAGAUGCAAAAUUGGGUAUAUGAUGUAAUCCAUCAAUAUCAACAUCAUAGGAUCAACUCACAGAAAUUGAUGUUUGUAUCUUUGAUCAAGGAAACCUGCAAACCUACGUACAUGCAUCAAAACUUAUGCAACUAAAGAAUGUUACAAGGUUUUCUUCGAAACAAAAAGAGUCUACGGGGAUACGGAAUUGCGACUAGGGCAUCUAUCCUAGUCCAAAGAUCAAAUAGCAAUCCAAGAACUCCAACUGGAUGUUGCCCCUCUGGAUGAAUAAUAUGAGAAGAAGCUUGAUUAGAAUAUCUCCAUUUACAGGUUGCUUCGUGGGAGUUCGGACGAGUUAAGCUUGCUUCAGCUUGAUAAUCUUUAUGUAACUGUAUUCUGCUAGUAGGUCAGCUGAGAGGGUUCUUACAAAAAAAAAAAACAAGAACAAGAAAAUAAAAAGAAGAAAAGCUAGCCUUGGGGGUGUGGAAGAUGGUCCGUUUUUUAAAACAGAAAGCUUUUUGACAACAGAAAAGGGUCCACCAGACAAUAAAUCUGUUGUUAACAGUGUAUUACAUGUAGAAAGUCAGCAAAUCUACCAAAAAAAAAGAAGCGUGCCACGAGUGAAUGAUUGAUCCAUAGCUUUAUAGAUUGUCUUUCUUUCCACAUGAUGUGCAAUUUGAAGUUGAAUGAAUUGGAAUAUUCAGAAACUAAGUUGGAAAGUGGAAGUAAUAAUUGAAAAAAUAGUGGAUAUAACAUGAGUAUGCAUGGUAAAGAAAGCAUGCAGUUUGGAAGAAAUGGAAACAGGGAAGCCUUCAUAUUAAUUUAGACAACAAAAACUGAGAGAGUACAAAGGAAAUUAACAAGAGUAAGCGCAACACAAAUCAAAACAUGGUUUAUUUCUUUGAGGAAUUAGUUGAAAUAUCAUUUUUGUGAGAUUGAACCCAACCUUGCAUUGCAUUGGAUAUCCUCUUUUUUUUUUGCUGUCCUGUCAAUUCUGUAGUUAUGAUGCCUGGCUAGAAAAGUGAACCUCAAUAAUUCACCACUGUCUCAAUCUAAAUCAUUUCUGUAGAUCCUUUUGAGCUUAGUGUGGUAGUAACUGGAAGGUCUCCUUUUAGAACAUCUACAGUUUUCAGAAGAUCUCCAUUAAGUAAAGCAUUCCACACUUCAGUUGUUGACAUCAAAACAGAUGAUAGAAUUUCCUUAACUUAGUUGUUGAUUUAGCAGAGAGUUAAUCUAACUGUAUCUCGCUUCUGGAGUUAAAAAGUCAUGCUUAUUGCAUAAUCUUUGCAUCGAACAUAUAAUAGAUCACCAUUUUUGGGUGCAUUAAUGGAAAUAUUCAUCAAGCUGCUUCUUAUGAUUGCAUGCUUGACACUUUUGUUUUUAUCAAAGUGUGUUGUAAAACAUUUAAGGGAUGCUGUGCAUUUCAGAUUCUGGUUGUUGUUGCUUGGUGUUUCAGUCAGGAGUUGGCUAGAGAAGGUUUAAACUGUUGGGCAAUGUACUCCCUAGAUUAGGUCUUGUGGAAAAGGCAAUGACGACAUACUCUGUAGAACUACAGCAACUCAGGCCCAACAUUUCUAAGGCUGAUCAGGCUUCAGAAUAGCAGAUACAGUCUUCAUGAUUCUAGCUAGGGCCUUGUCAGAAAACCACGCAAGAAACUAUAUCCAGCAGAUCAUAAUCUAUCCCUGUACCGGACAUAUAAUCCUUGUUCGUCAUUUUUCCUUGUCGUAGUUCAAUCAAAACAAGCUUCUUCUGUCCUUUCUCAUGGCUGAUUUGAACUUUUCUUUGACCACCUGUUGCAAUAAUAUUUCUUGCCUCAUCUAUUUGGUAAUGGAGCAAUAAAUCUAUAUACUUUUAGACAUCAGAAUGAUUGUAGAUAUUUUGAUAUUUGGUGGACUUGAACCAUAUAGGUAAUAAUUCUCAUCAGUUAGACUAUCAAAAAAAUCUAUUUUAUAAUUGAUAAUAGGAACAUGCGGAGGAUCUGCCAAGCGUAUUGGAUGGAAAAUUUUGCGGACUUCAAAUCCUCUCUUUUAUGAUGUAUUGGUUGCUCUCUGGAGAGAUAUUUAUUGCUAAUGUUAGAUAUUCGAAAAUUUUAAAUGACUUUUCAGGUGUUUUUUAGUUUUUAGAGGUCUUUUUAUUGGUGAUUGAUGUUUGGCAGGAUAUUGCAAAAGACUGAAAACUUCAAUCAUUAGAAUCAUUGACACUUCAUUAGUUUAUAAAUUCUAGUUCUUUUUUGAUAGUUCAAAUACAAGUAAUCUUACCACCAACUAUUCCUAUUUGUCUGUGGGCAUUUUGAUUUGACUCAGCUCAACCAGCCAUGCCAUGCACAGUUAUGUACCCAAACCUAGACUCAAUGGUCUCAAACUAGUAGUGAUUAGGUCUUUAUAUAGGGUUUAAGACUCCUUGACCAAGCCCCCAAGUGUGUCAUGUACUCAUGUUAGUUGUGUACUCUAGAUGACUUCCACUCCUCUACCAUCUAAGACCACUCUUCCAAACCCUCUGAAAAACUGCCAUGUUUGCUACUGCUAUCCCCUGUUAAUGCUUACGAAAAAAAUGUAAAGAUCAAGUAGCCAUACAAUGAGGUCCCAGCCAUCAAUAUCAAGCUCAAAUGGUAUGAAGAAGAAGAGAAGGAAUUCUAUCAUAAUCAUCUCCUUCAUUUCCCAAAGGUCAAUUGGAACAAGAGAAAAAAUUGUAACACGACACAUAUUGUGCUAAUUAGCAUGUCACUAGAACAUUACAUUGUAAUAUGCAUUAAAUGUACGCCAAACUUAUGUUUGUUUAUAAUAUUUUAUAAAGUGAAAGAAGAAUCUAUAUGUACUGUUUAGGCCAAGUAUGAAAUGCAACGAAAUCAUUAGAUUUUCAUGUCAUUGGUGUGCUUUAUAUACAAGUUGAGUCCCUUGACUCGAGAGACUAGACAUAGUAGAAUACAACAACAUAAUUCCAUCAUUAUAGAAAAGAUACUGAGGACUAGAUGUAGUAUAAUAUAAUAGCAAAAUCCGAUGAUUUGGUACAUAUACUAUAUUUAAAUAUGAUAAUUAGAUCCCAUAAUUUUUUAAGAUUGCUCUAAACUGAUAUAUCAAAAUUGUGCAUAUGAUAUGCAGCUGGUGUGAUAUUUAAGAUUGUGCAUACUAUAAUGAGCGAGAUUGUGCAUGAUACUGACAAUUGUAAUAUUUUGCAAAUCUCAUGAGAUUUUGAAAGGCUUGUGUUUUGCUUGGAGAAUGAGGAACUUCUCGAUAUCCGAACUCAUCAGCUGAUUCUCAUGUUGAUCGCAGCCAUGACAUGGGUCUCUUGGAAAGAAAGGAAUGCUAGAUUGUUCUUGAACGAGCAUUCCUCCAUUUUCUCGGUUGCUACGGAAGAUUAAAAGAUCGCCUGAAUUGCUUAAUGGAGCUUGAUUUCGACAUUCGCUGCUUGUGCUUGCUAAAGUUCUUCCAUGGAAAACAUUCUCUGCUGUAUGACCUCCUGUAUCAGUUGAUAUGCUUCUGGCAACCCACAAAAGUCUCACUUGGACCUCAAGAGGGAAAUUGAGGGAAUAUCUGACUCAAAUCUGUUGCAGCCUCACCUUGUUCUGAUGUCGAUCGCAGUUUUGAUAUGUUGAUGUGGCCUUUUUGCUUCUUGUUCUCGUUGGGUUUUGUCUGCCUUGGUUGGUCUGUCUCACUAUAACUGGUCUGCUCUAUCUCUCUUGCUUGUGUGUCUGCUGUCUUUCACAGCUCUUUGGUUGGUCCGUUUGGUUUUGUUUUUUGACUGGCCAAAGCUCUUGAAACUCUCUCAAAC